AACGCACAUUGCGCCCCGUGGUAUUCCGCGGGGCAUGCCUGUCCGAGCGUCAUAGAACCCCUCGAGCGCCCGCUCGGUGCUGGGCCAGGCCCCCGCGGCCGGCCCCAAAGCCAGUGGCGGCGCCGCCGUAGCCCUGAGCGCAGUACGAUCCUCGCUCCAGGGCCGCGGCGGCCGCCCGCCAGGACAACCCCCCUCACGGUUGACCUCGGAUCAGGUAGGGCUACCCGCUGAACUUAA
rnacentral:misc_RNA from 1 species